AUUGAACGCUGGCGGAAUGCUUUACACAUGCAAGUCGAACGGCAGCACGGACUUCGGUCUGGUGGCGAGUGGCGAACGGGUGAGUAAUACAUCGGAACGUGCCCAGUCGUGGGGGAUAACGUAGCGAAAGCUACGCUAACACCGCAUACGAUCUACGGAUGAAAGCGGGGGAUCGCAAGACCUCGCGCGAUUGGAGCGGCCGAUGGCAGAUUAGGUAGUUGGUGGGGUAAAGGCUCACCAAGCCGACGAUCUGUAGCUGGUCUGAGAGGACGACCAGCCACACUGGGGCUGAGACACGGCCCAGACUCCUACGGGAGGCAGCAGUGGGGAAUUUUGGACAAUGGGCGCAAGCCUGAUCCAGCCAUUCCGCGUGCAGGAUGAAGGCCCUCGGGUUGUAAACUGCUUUUGUACGGAACGAAAAGGCUCUGGUUAAUACCUGGGGCUCAUGACGGUACCGUAAGAAUAAGCACCGGCUAACUACGUGCCAGCCGCCGCCGUAA
rnacentral:rRNA from 1 species